AGGCUAUUAGUAUAGUGGAAGUACAACAGUCUCCAAAACUGUUGGCGUCAGUUCGAUUCUGGCAUGGUCUG
rnacentral:tRNA from 2 species